GUCNGGUCCAUUCGGACUGUUCGGCAUAAUGAGUUUCUAAAUUCAAUUGAUCUCAAUUAAUGUAUUGUUGAUAAUUAUUUAAGGACGNCGGUCAUAAACCAAGCGUUCGGUCUUACAAGUGUUCGGCUUUAGGCUAACACUUAGUUUAUGAAGCAUUUGAAUUUAAUAUCCUUCCCUUUAAAACCGUCCGGUCACUUAAUGACUGUUCGGUCUAGUGAGCCUUUAUUUAUUAAAAANGUCCGGUUUCAUUUGAUUAAAGUUCCUUGAUUGCUGAAAGAGUCUCUUAUUGCUUGAUCNGUCCGGUUUAAGAAGUGUU
rnacentral:lncRNA from 1 species